AGCGGAGUGGAGCAGUUGGUAGCUCGUCGAGGCUAUCAUAACCCGAAGCUACCACAGGUUCGAGUCCUGUCUCCGCAACCA
rnacentral:tRNA from 1 species